GUCUGCAUUGAGAAAACCAACUUUAACAGACUACAGUAAGUAAGAAUUCUUCAGGCAUCAAACUUAAGUGGUCCCGAUCGGGGGCAACUGGAAUGACUUGGCUCUCCUCCAUGUGUCUUCUCAACCUCCUGUAGGCUGUUCUGGGCAUGUAUUCAUGGUGAUAGAGGAUGAAUAAAAGAGAAGACACACCCAUCUAGCAAAUUCUUUCCUGGUUUUUGUUCGUGUCACAUCCCUUUGGCCAGUAAGGUGGUCCACCAUCCUGAUUGUUCUCAUUGAGGGAUUUCCCAGUGAUUCGGGAGCUUCCCUGAAUGUGGGGUCCUCCCUCCAUACAAAAACAAAGAGAAUGCAGGUUGGUCACCUGUCUAGUCACCUGGCCAGGUCUGGAGCAAGAGUGGGAGGCAACGCAAAGCACAGAGUUUGGAUAUGAGGAGCAAAGGACUGGGGGUAAUCAAUCUACUGCUGAUGGGCUGUGUGUUUUUCACUUCACUACUAAACCAACUUUUAGACCAAACAAGUCAUGAAAGAUUUCAGAGAUGAAGUGCUUUGGACCAGGUCUGGAAGGAUGACUAGAAGCGCACUUGUUCCUAAAGCAGAGAAGUUAAGGUCACAGUCUUUAGCAUCAGACAAGUUUGGGAUGAUACUCUGCCACCACCAA